CAACUAUAUAUUAACAAUUAAAUUUUUUUGUUUAAAGAAAAGUUUAAGAACCAAAGUCUUCUGGAGAAGACUGCAGUGGAAACAAGUCAGCAUAAACUCAGUGGGAAGCUAGGAAGCUUGAGGGAAAAACCUGAUCUGGAGUCUUUGCCUUGGGCUGUACUGUCUUGGGCUCACUCCUCCCUCUCUGCUCUCCACCCUGCAGGAGGCUGAGUGCCUCAGGCUUCCUUGGUGGAAGCAAGAGAAAGGAAGCAAAGUGAGGUCUGGGUAUUUGCUUCCCUGACUCCCUUACUCUAAUGUUCUUUCCUCAGCCUCGUUAUUGGCUUUUCCAUAUACUAUCUCAGUCUCAGAGAUAAUCUAUAUCUCUUGGGGCCAAAGGAUAGUAAUAGAACUCUAUGCCAACAUUAUCCUUGUGGUAUCACUAUAUCUGACCCACCGUUUUGAAAAUAGUCACUUUAUUAAACUCUUCUCAAGUUAUUCUAAUUUGAGUGUGCCAUCUGUUUUCUGCUGAGACUCUAUAGAUUAGCCUACUGGCCUGACAAGCCUCUCAGAGGCGAGAAAAUGGAAAGGUGACAUGCAGUGAUGAGAAACAGACUUGUGGAAAGACUGAUAGAAAUACUCUUUUGGAUAGGAGGACAAGGCUAAAGGAGGCAAAAACUGAGGCCACACAGUUCUGAUGAAGCUUUCUUCUGGGAAGAGAAAAACUCAAAAAACACAAUCAAAUGUGGAAAUCACCCUUUUGUCUUUAGAUCAGGUACCAAGGACCACAACAAACGAGUA